rnacentral:lncRNA from 1 species
CUUUUCGAGGUCGGCCGCGUGGCUGGAAGACAUGGCCACUCCAGUCGGUGUUGAGCACGGCGAGCAGUCUCAGGCCUUUAGUGAUGAUGGUAAGGCUGCCUGGGUGGGAAAACGGGGUCUUCCUUGACACGACACUAACAUACUUGGCUUCCCUUCCUCAGAGACGAAGUGGUGACGAUAAUCUCGGUUUCUCCCUCAUAGGGUGGUUAGGAGGGUUAAAAGUACUGGAUGAGAAAAUGCUUUCCAAACGUUGAGAAAAUGUUACUAUGUGAAGGGAGAGAGCUCAAGCCCGUCCUCGGCGUCAUAGGGCCGGCUUCUGCGGGGGAGAGCGCCUAACAACCUGGGCAGCCCCGUGCGCCUCCGCCGCGCGUGUGCUGAGCGUCAUGCCCAGGGGUCUUCGGUGCCCGCGCACGGGCAGACUCUGACGAUGGUGGUUCUUAAUUCAGCAUCAGGAGUGUUAACGUGUGAAGACGUGAUUCCGCUUGGAGUGUCUUGAGGACGGCCCCAAUCGGUAGUUCAUAUUUAGCUUUACAGAUAGGAGUCAAUAGGAUUGUAAACUUCUGGAAAGCCGUAGUUUUAACAACGAGCCUUUUUUCCUCCCCCAGAGGCCUUUCUUUGUUUGGCAUCUGCAGAGACGGUGAAAAGCAGAGCUCCAGGUUGAAGGAUCAGAGUAAUAGAUGGAGCCCUUAACAUGAGUAAGAGUGGGUGCAGGCAGGGCCUGAGUGGUCACUAGAAAUGAGAAAGCACAGUUGGUGCCAUCACAUACAUUCACCUCCUGCUUUAUUCUGAAGUUCAAGUAUGAGAAUACGUGUUGACAUACAAGCCAGCUAUGGUAAGAAAUUACUCAAAAUUCAGAAUGCUAAUUAUUUUAAUGAUAAAAAUGAGUAGCGUCUUUGCCCGUGUGAUUUGGGGCCACUAGGUGUCAUUGUAACCAGCGUGGAUCCUCGUUAGGGCAUGCAGGGAUGAAAGAGACAUGGCAAAUGAAUUUUGGAUCGCUAGGAUUUAGGAAUCUUUGUUAUUGGCUGAGCUGAGGAUGAUUUAAAGUUAUCCCUGUCUGAAAUGGUAUCUUUUGUGAGGAGGUCUGACUUGCUGAGGCUCAGCUGUUUAAUACAAAUCUGGAGAAUAAACCUUAAGGUGGUUUCUGUUAGAAUGAAGCCUGUUAUCCUUCUCUUUUAGAUUAAAGGUGGUGGCUGUGGCCUUGAAAACAGUCAUGUGAAAACUCAUCACCUUAAGGUGUUAAGUGUAAGGAUCUUCAUGAUGAAAUUUCUGUAAAUGGUGAGAUUUUUAGUACUUUCAUAGACUUGAAUAUGCUUAUGGUCCUCUUUAAGUAUUGGUUUGUUAGUUUUGGGGAUGUGUUGGUCUUCCAGGGUUACGAUUGCCCAGAUAAUGGAAGUAGUAUGGAAUUCCUUUUGAUAGGGUCCUUGCCAAGCACUCUCAUAAAGAGCAUUUUUUGUUUGUUUGUUUUGAGACAGAGUUUUGCUCUUGUUGCCCAGGCUGGAGUGCGAUGGUGCGAUCUUGGCUCAGCGCAACCUCUGCCUCCUGGGUUCAAGCUAGUCUCCUGCCUCAGCCUCCCAAGUAGCUGGGAUUACAGGCAUGCACCACCACGCCUAGCUAAUUUUGUGUUUUUAGUAGAGACGGGGUUUCUCCAUGUUGGUCAGGCUGGUCUUGAACUCCCGACUUAAGGUGAUCUGUGCUGGGAUUACAGGCGUGAGCCACCUUGCCUGGCCAUAAAUAGUAUUUCUAAUAUCAACCCCAUAUGAGGUAAAUUUUUUUCCCCACUCUGCUGCUGAGUAAGUAAAAGUGAGGCGUAAAGAGUUCUUUUGCCCAAAGUUAUACAAGCAGUUACUGAGUUAGACUGGCAGUUCUGAACUGGGGAGCGAUGGUGUUCCUGGCAUCUGGUGAAUGCUACUAUUAAUAAAUACCCUGGCUGGGCCUGGAUAUUUAUCUCAUGCCUGUAAUCCCAGCACUUUGGGAGGCCGAAGCAGAUGGAUCACCUGAGGUCAGGAGUUCGAGUUCGAGACCAGCCUGGCCAACAUGGUGAAACCUUGUCUCUACUAAAAAUACAAAAAUUAGCUGGGUGUGGUGGCGGGCACCUGUAAUCCUAGCUACUUGGGAGACUAAGGCAGGAGAAUCUCUUGAACCCAGGAGGCAGAGGUUUGCAGUGAGCUGAGAUGGCACCAUUGUACUCCAGUCUAGGCGACAAGAGCGAAACUCUGUAAAUAAAUAAAUAAAUAAAUAUCCUACAAUGCAUACAACAGCCUGCAUGAGGAAUAAUUGAUCCACCCAGUAUGUCAGUAGAGCUGAGGUUGAGAAACUCCUGUAUACCACACGUUAGGCUAACUAGAGAUCUGAGCUCUAGUCUCAGCCUAUUUUCUCACCAGAGUCUUGUUUCUUCAUUUGUGAAACAGGGUUAGUGAUUUCCAAACUUGAUUAUUACAUCAGAGCCACCUACAAAGUGUUAAAAUAUACACAUUCCUGGGCCUCACCUCCAGGCAUGGGUGAGAAUGGCUCUGGAGUGGAGUCCAGGAAUCAUGUGGCCAGUCCAAGAGCAAGUGGGUAGUAACUAGAUCAGGGGUGUCAAUCUUUUGGCUUCCCUGUGCCACAUUGGAAGAAUUGUCUUGGGUCACACAUAAAAUAAACUAACACUAAUGAUAGCUGAUGAGCU